CUACGGGUCGCUGCAGUGGGGAAUAUUGCACAAUGGGCGCAAGCCUGAUGCAGUCAUGCCGCGUGUAUGAAGAAGGCCUUCGGGUUGUAAAGUACUUUCAGCGGGGAGGAAGGGAGUAAAGUUAAUACCUUUGCUCAUUGACGUUACCCGCAGAAGAAGCACCGGCUAACUCCGUGCCAGCAGCCGCGGUAAUACGGAGGGUGCAAGCGUUAAUCGGAAUUACUGGGCGUAAAGCGCACGCAGGCGGUUUGUUAAGUCAGAUGUGAAAUCCCCGGGCUCAACCUGGGAACUGCAUCUGAUACUGGCAAGCUUGAGUGUCGUAGAGGGGGGUAGAAUUCCAGGUGUAGCGGUGAAAUGCGUAGAGAUCUGGAGGAAUACCGGUGGCGAAGGCGGCCCCCUGGACGAAGACUGACGCUCAGGUGCGAAAGCGUGGGGAGCAAACAGGAUUAGAUACCCGGGUAGUC
rnacentral:rRNA from 1 species